rnacentral:rRNA from 1 species
UAGGGAAUAUUAGUAAUGGGCGAAAGCCUGAAGCAGCAACGCCGCGUGUGCGAUGAAGGCCUUCGGGUUGUAAAGCACUUUUUGAGGGGAUGAGGAAGGACAGUACCCUCAGAAUAAGCCUCGGCUAACUACGUGCCAGCAGCCGCGGUAACACGUAGGAGGCGAGCGUUAUCCGGAUUUACUGGGUGUAAAGCGCGUGCAGGCGGUUCAGAAAGUUGGAUGUGAAAGCUCCUGGCUUAACUGGGAGAGGUCGUUCAAUACUAUCAGACUUGAGAGUGGUAGAGGGAGGUGGAAUUCCGCAUGUAGUGGUGAAAUGCGUAGAUAUGCGGAGGAACACCAGUGGCGAAAGCGGCCUCCUGGCCCAUUUCUGACGCUCAGACACGAAAGCUAAGGUAGCAAACG